AGCGAACGCUGGCGGCAGGCCUAAAACAUGCAAGUCGAACGCCGUAGCAAUACGGAGUGGCAGACGGGUGAGUAACGCGUGGGAACGUACCCUUUGGUUCGGAACAACACAGGGAAACUUGUGCUAAUACCGGAUAAGCCCUUACGGGGAAAGAUUUAUCGCCAAAGGAUCGGCCCGCGUCUGAUUAGCUUGUUGGUGAGGUAACGGCUCACCAAGGCUACGAUCAGUAGCUGGUCUGAGAGGAUGAUCAGCCACACUGGGACUGAGACACGGCCCAGACUCCUACGGGAGGCAGCAGUUAGGAAUCUUGGACAAUGGGCGCAAGCCUGAUCCAGCCAUGCCGCGUGAGUGAUGAAGGCCUUAGGGUUGUAAAGCUCUUUCAGCGGGGAAGAUAAUGACGGUACCCGCAGAAGAAGCCCCGCUAACUUCGUGCCAGCAGCCGCAGUAAU
rnacentral:rRNA from 1 species